UACGGAGGGUGCAAGCGUCAUCCGGAUUCACUGGGUUUAAAGGGUGCGUAGGUGGAUUAGUAAGUCAGUGGUGAAAUCUCUGGGCUUAACUCAGAAACUGCCAUUGAUACUAUUAAUCUUGAAUACCGUGGAGGUCAGCGGAAUAUGUCAUGUAGCGGUGAAAUGCUUAGAUAUGACAUAGAACACCAAUUGCGAAGGCAGCUGGCUACACGAAUAUUGACACUGAGGCACGAAAGCGUGAGGAUCAAACAGG
rnacentral:rRNA from 1 species